AACUGGGACUGCAUUAUCAGCCGGAGAUAAAGGCAGCAAGGCAGUAGGCAUCAGCAGAACAGCUCAUCUCUGCAACUGUGGACAUACACUGGGACUUACUGCAGGGUAACUGGCCAUACACUGGGACUUACUGCAGGGUAACUGGCCAUACACUGGGACUUACUGCAGGGUAACUGGCCAUACACUGGGACUUACUGCAGAGUAACUGGCCAUACACUGGGACUUACUGCGGGGUAACUGGCCAUACACUGGGACUUACUGCGGGGUAACUGGCCAUACACUGGGACUUACUGCAGAGUAACUGGCCAUACACUGGGACUUACUGCAGGGUAACUGGCCAUACACUGGGACUUACUGCAGGAUAACUGGCCAUACACUGGGACUUACUGCAGAGUAACUGGCCAUACACUGGGACUUACUGCAGGGUAACUGGCCAUACACUGUGGCUUACUGCAGGAUAACUGGCCAUACACUGGGACUUACUGCAGGGUAACUGGCCAUACACUGUGGCUUACUGCAGGGUAACUGGCCAUACACUGGGACUUACUGCAGAGUAACUGGCCAUACACUGGGACUUACUGCGGGGUAACUGGCCAUACACUGGGACUUACUGCAGGAUAACUGGCCAUACACUGUGGCUUACUGCAGAGUAACUGGCCAUACACUGGGACUUACUGCAGGGUAACUGGCCAUACACUGGGACUUACUGCGGGGUAACUGGCCAUACACUGGGGCUUACUUCAAGAUACCAGCUGGGCAGAUACAGAAAUCCGCAGUGUAGGGCACCAGCUGGGGAAGGUACAGAGGCAUCCUGCAUUAUAGUAGCCUGGGGUAAUUAGAGGGGAGGGUUCUUGUACGAUACCAGCUUGGGG
rnacentral:lncRNA from 1 species